CAGCCGCCGCGGGAAUACAGAGGGUGCGAGCGUUAAUCGGAUUUACUGGGCGUAAAGCGUGCGUAGGCGGCUAAUUGAGUCGGAUGUGAAAUCCCCGAGCUUAACUUGGGAAUUGCAUUCGAUACUGGUUAGCUAGAGUGUGGGAGAGGAUGGUAGAAUUCCAGGUGUAGCGGUGAAAUGCGUAGAGAUCUGGAGGAAUACCGAUGGCGAAGGCAGCCAUCUGGCCUAACACUGACGCUGAGGUACGAAAGCAUGGGGAGCAAACAGGAUUAGAUACCCGAGUAGUCCCUGUCUCUUAUAC
rnacentral:rRNA from 1 species